rnacentral:rRNA from 1 species
UACAGAGGUCUCGAGCGUUGUUCGGAUUCAUUGGGCGUAAAGGGUGCGUAGGUGGCGCUGUAAGUCGGGUGUGAAAUCCUGAGGCUUAACCUCGGAACUGCAUUCGAUACUGCGGCGCUUGAGGACUGGAGAGGAGACUGGAAUUCAUGGUGUAGCAGUGAAAUGCGUAGAGAUCAUGAGGAAGACCAGUGGCGAAGGCGGGUCUCUGGACAGUUCCUGACACUGAGACACGAAGGCCAGGGGAGCAAACGGGG